UCCAUCCAAUCCACGAGAGACGGAUGGUUUCCACGGAGGAAAACCGUUCGUCUUCUGGGCGUCACGGCCUCGCUGCCUGUACGUGCGGAUGGAUGGAGUCGUUGCCGACGCCGCUUGGCCUCGUCCGCGCCGUGCGGGCGCGGCGUGGAUGCGCGCCGCGUGGGCCACCCUGCGCCAGGUGGGCCCGCCCAGCCGCGGAAGUCGGAGGGCCGCUCGGGAGCCGCAGGCGCGCGGUUGGGCGAGGAACUGCCCCUGCUGCUCAUCGCGCGGAGGCCGUCGUGGAGCGCCGCCGGGUCGCGCAUGGACGCCGGAGCCGUGCGCGAGGUCGUGCGCAGGCCACUUGGGACUUGGCGGACCGCGGGCGAGGCCACGUGAAGGCCGCUCCGUCGUGCGAGAUCGUGGGACGCCGGAUGCGUGUGGAGGGCCACCGCGGUCGUGCGAGCCGAAGCCGCGUGGACCGUCCGCGGUCGCGACGCAGGGUCGCAUGAGGGUCGCCGAGGCACCUGGCCGCCGGUCGCCGAUCCGAGGCCGGGCUGGGCGCUCGGGCUGGUGAAGGAGCGUGGACGCGUGGUUCUCAUCCUCAUCGGAGAAGAGCUGUUGGAGACAGUCGAAGCUUAUGGCCUAGAGCACCGUCAUGCAGGGCAGCAGGGGCAUCUUGCUAGCUACAGUACGACACAAGAUACUAAGGUCCUGUUUAGUUAAGCUGUUUAGUUAAGCGCCCGUUUAGUUCCCAAACCCAAAAAUUUUUGGGUGUCACGUCGAUCUUUGACCGGAUGUCGGGAGGGCUUUUCGAACACUAAUUAAAAAACUAAUUUUAGAAGUCACUUGUAAACCGCGAGACGAAUGUUUUGAGGCCUUUGACCGCAUCGUUAGCACAUGUGGGUUACUGUAGUACUUAUGGCUAAUCAUGCCCUAAUUAGGCUCAAAAGAUUCGUCUCGUCGUGUACAUCCAAACUAUGUAAUUAGUUUUGUUAUUUAAUUACAUUUAGUGUUUCAUACAUGUGUUCAAAGGGGAGUUGAAAAUUUUUGGGAACUAAACGGCUCCUAAAAAAACGGGAAUCCUUGUUGUAGGACGUCCGAUGAGAUUAAAAAAACCGGACGCCUUCCACACCAGAACAGCGAAUCGGACUUUGCCGGCACUCCACUCGCUGGCACUUUGCUCGCCGCUCGCAACCCACCACGCAGCAAAAAUGCACGCCCGGGGUGAGAUCCGUGCCGGCCCCCGCCGCCCUCAUCACAUGUGCAUCCACGGCCUGCUCCACCCGGAUCGUCCUGGACUCGUUCCGCUCGGAUUUGAUUUCGCUCGAUUCGACGGGAGCUCUGGGGUGGCGGCGCACGAGGGCUCCUACGGGAGCUCCGAAACGGCAGCAUGGCCACCCGACGGCAGUUAAAAGGUGCUGGAUGGGGCGCACGCGGUGGGGGGCUGGGCCGCCGCUCCCCUGCACCUCCCCCCGCCCUGGCCGCUGUCCCGCGCUAGGGUAAGCCGCGCCGGCCGCCCGGAGGAGGGCGGUGGCCAUGGCGGGCAAUUCUUGAAGGUUGAAGAUGAGCAAAAGCUGUGGCGGGCAUAAGAUGGUCAUGGGGCAAUAUGUAUCUUAUAAUAUUGCAGUAGAUAUUUUGGAAUGUUGCAAGUAUUAUAAAUGAAUGUUGCAAAAUCAGAUCUAGACGUUGCAUUGUUGCAAGUGUUUAAUCUGAAUGUUGUGUCUUCAAUAAGAAAUUUAAAUAUCCCAUGCAACAUGAAACAGAUAUUGCGGCAGAUUUUUUUCUCUUCAUCAAUGGAUGGUUAAUAAUUUUUUUCAAUAGUUUUUUGAUGUUGCAAAUGAUGGUUUUCUAU